rfam:Schistosoma rodhaini strain Burundi genome assembly, scaffold: SROB_scaffold0006855
AUCCAUCUGACAAGUCCCAAAUAGGACGAAACGCGCAUUCUGGAU